GGGCUCGUAGAUCAGCGGUAGAUCGCCUCCUUUGCGAGGAGGAGGCCGUGGGUUCAAGCCUUUUCUUUCUUGAGAAGAAAGAAAACCCUUGGGAAAAGAAAGAAGCACAAGGAAACUUGGCUGCCUAUAAAUCCCACCGAGUCCA
rnacentral:tRNA from 1 species